UUAUCAAGCGACGAAAGCGGAGGUUGAAGACAACACCAUGCGGCCGCACAGGCAAAACCACAUGCGGCCACACACAUGCAUACCGAAAACCAAAAGACUAAUUCCUGUUGAACCAUGCGACCGCAUGGAUUUACACCAUGCGGCCGCACCAGCCAAAAAAAUUGGCGAAUUUUCUAAUUUUGGCCGAAUUUCCUAGUUUCGAUAGAAUUCUUAUGA
rnacentral:lncRNA from 1 species